UACGAAGGGUGCAAACGUUGCUCGGAAUUAUUGGGCGUAAAGCGCACGUAGGCGGCUAUCUAAGUCGGAUGUGAAAUCCCUCGGCUUAACCAAGGAAGUGCACCCGAAACUGGAUAGCUUGAGUACAGAAGAGGAUCGCGGAAUUCCCGGUGUAGAGGUGAAAUUCGUAGAUAUCGGCAGGAACACCCAGGGGGAAACCAGUCGACUGGGCAUCUACUGACGCUGAGGUGCGAGAGCGUGGGGAGCGAACCGG
rnacentral:rRNA from 1 species